rnacentral:rRNA from 1 species
AGUGAACGCUGGCGGUAGGCCUAACACAUGCAAGUCGAACGGCAGCACAGUAAUAGCUUGCUCUUACGGGUGGCGAGUGGCGGAUGGGUGAGGAAUACAUCGGAAUCUACUUUUUCGUGGGGGAUAACGCAGGGAAACUUACGCCAAUACCGCAUACGACCUACGGGUGAAAGCAGGGGACCUUCGGACCUUGCGCGAUCGAAUGAGCCGAUGUCGGAUUAGCUAGUUGGCGGGGUAAAGGCCCACCAAGGCGACGAUCCGUAGCUGGUCUGAGAGGAUGAUCAGCCACACUGGAACUGAGACACGGUCCAGACUCCUACGGGAGGCAGCAGUGGGGAAUAUUGGACAAUGGGCGCAAGCCUGAUCCAGCCAUACCGCGUGGGUGAAGAAGGCCUUCGGGUUGUAAAGCCCUUUUGUUGGGAAAGAAAAGCAGCAGGUUAAUACCCCGCUGUUCUGACGGUACCCAAAGAAUAAGCACCGGCUAACUUCGUG